GUGGUAUCAUUGCAGAGUGAAUGAAAAAACCUGCUAUGAGAUGAGGCUGGUGAUGAAAGCUCAUAAUACAUCUCGUUCCACAAAGGUAUUAGAAACACUUUCCACAACAUUGGUAACCACAGCCUCUGCUGACAGUCUUGCUGGCCUGGCUGAAAAUAACAGUGAUGGGAGUGAAACAGUGACAACUAAUCUGACAGUAGUAGUGAUGAUGACCACAGUAGUGUCUCUGUGUGUCCUCAUAUCACUGACCAUCUGUGUCAUUCUUUAUUUCAAAAAACAAAGGCGCAAAACCAACAGCCAAACACAGUUAAACAGUCGGAUCUCUGUGUAUUACUCCCAUGUUGCAGAAGGUAAGUGACAUUCAUGUUAAAUGCUUAG
rnacentral:lncRNA from 1 species